UCCUGGCUCAGGAUGAACGCUGGCGGCGUGCCUAACACAUGCAAGUCGAGCGAUUCUCUUCGGAGAAGAGCGGCGGACGGGUGAGUAACGCGUGGGUAACCUGCCUCAUACACAUGGAUAACAUACCGAAAGGUAUGCUAAUACAGGAUAACAUAAGAGAUUCACAUGGAUUUCUUAUCAAAGCUCCGGCGGUAUGAGAUGGACCCGCGUCUGAUUAGCUAGUUGGUAAGGUAACGGCUUACCAAGGCGACGAUCAGUAGCCGACCUGAGAGGGUGAUCGGCCACAUUGGAACUGAGACACGGUCCAAACUCCUACGGGAGGCAGCAGUAGGGAAUAUUGCACAAUGGGCGAAAGCCUGAUGCAGCAACGCCGCGUGAGUGAUGAAGGCCUUCGGGUCGUAAAACUCUGUCCUCAAGGAAGAUAAUGACGGUACUUGAGGAGGAAGCCCCGGCUAACUACGUGCCAGCAGCCGC
rnacentral:rRNA from 1 species